GUUGCAAAGCCUUUUCUUGUCGGCGGGACUCCUGGGGGCAGCGGGGCGGGAGGCAUCAGAAGGGAGGAAGAGAGGGAGGGGAAGGAGGGAGGCAGUGCCGCCUUUUUUUUUUUCCUUGCAUCAAUUUUUUUAAAUUUGCAAAUUACAUUUUGCAAACAUUUGGGGAGACCUUGAUUUUGCUCCCCCGUUCUUCCCUGUGGAGUGCGCUGCGCCGCCCAGUCCUGUCGCCCCCCGGAGGUGAUCCCUCCCUCCUGCCUGCCCGCCAGCCUGACCUGUGCCCGGUUUGCGGGCCGCAGUCUCGGCCCCGGCGCGCCCCCGGCAGCUUUCGGCGCGAUGAGCAUAGAGACGUUACUGGAGGCGGCCCGCUUCCUGGAAUGGCAAGCGCAGCAACAACAGAGAGCACGUGGGAGGACCCGGCUCCUGUGGACGCCACCCCAGCUGCCUACCACCCCUUGUGCACCUUUCGUGGGGGGCUUCUUUCCCAUGGGCCAGCGGCGCCCUCGGUAGGGCUGAGGAUGUGCGAGCCGGGGGGUGGGGUGAGGAAUGGUGUUGCGUGGGGGUGGCAGACCCGCGCGUGUGUGCGUGUAUGCACGGGGGAUGUGUGAUGCGAGCCUCGAUGAGAGCGGAUGGAUGGACGUGUACACGGGCGAGUGUCUAGUGCACACGAGUGGGCGUGUGUGUAAUGGAGUGGGGGGUGGAAUUACUCUACGCGGAGCAGCUCCCCGGCUUCCCUGGCCCUGUGCGGGGGGCGCUCCCGGCAUAUCUACGCGCCGCUUGGGGCGGAGGCGGCCUUUGCAGAAUGAAAUGACAUCGCGUGUCUUAUGAUCCUGGCCAGCCCCGCCUGACCCCGCCUCUCAGAGCUGGGCUGGGUCGCGCGUCAAGGGUUUGGGUGAGAGCCGGACUGAUUGGACAUCUGCGAAACGGCCCGCAGGUCUCCGGGGGCAGCCCCCGGGCCCCCCUUGCUGCCCCCCCACUUUAGCCGGUGUGGAAUGUGGCGUGUCUGCGCGUUCCAAACCCGCUCUCGGCUGGAAUGUUGCGUGUGCUUG